CCGAGUUUUCAACUCCCAAACCCCUGUGAACAUACCUAACGUUGCCUCGGCGGGAAAGCCCCAGGCGUUGGCGCAAGCCUCGCACUGGUAUCAGGCGCUCGCCGGAGGACCCAACUAAACUCUUGUAUUCUAAAGAAUCUUCUGAGUAAACCAUUAAAUAAAUUA
rnacentral:misc_RNA from 1 species